rnacentral:rRNA from 1 species
AACGAACGCUGGCGGCAUGCCUAACACAUGCAAGUCGAACGAGACCUCCGGGUCUAGUGGCGCACGGGUGCGUAACGCGUGGGAACCUGCCCUUAGGUUCGGAAUAACUCCCCGUAAGGGGUGCUAAUACCGGAUAAUGUCUUCGGACCAAAGAUCUAUCGCCUUUGGAUGGGCCCGCGUUGGCUUAGCUGGUUGGUAGGGGAAAAGCCUACCAAGGCGUCGAUCCAUAGCUGGUCUGAGAGGAUGAUCAGCCACACUGGGGCUGAGACACGGCCCAGACUCCUACGGGAGGGAGGAGUGGGGAAUAUUGGACGAUGGGCGGAGGCCUGAUCCAGCAAUGCCGCGUGAGUGAUGAAGGCGGUAGGGUUGUGAAGCUCUUUUACCCGGGGUGAUAAUGACGGUACCGGGAGAAUAAGCUCCGGCUAACUCCGUG